CUACGGGGGGCAGCAGUGAGGAAUUUUGCGCAAUGGGGGAAACCCUGACGCAGCAACGCCGCGUGAGUGAUGAAGGCCCUCGGGUCGUAAAGCUCUGUCAAGUGGGAAGAACCUAUCGAUAUUGAAUAGAUAUUGAUACUGACGGUACCACAAGAGGAAGCACCGGCUAACUCCGUGCCAGCAGCCGCGGUAAUAUGGGGGGUGCAAGCGUUAUUCGGAAUCAUUGGGCGUAAAGGGCGCGCAGGCGGCCUUGUCAGUCAGAUGUGAAAGCCCGGGGCUCAACCCCGGAAGUGCAUUUGAAACUAUGAGGCUUGAGUAUGGGAGAGGGAAGUGGAAUUCCUGGUGUAGCGGUGAAAUGCGUAGAUAUCAGGAGGAACACCGGUGGCGAAGGCGACUUCCUGGACCAAUACUGACGCUGAGGCGCGAAGGCGUGGGGAGCAAACAGGAUUAGAUACCCCGGUAGUC
rnacentral:rRNA from 1 species